AUUGAACGCUGGCGGCAGGCUUAACACAUGCAAGUCGAGCGGUAACAGAGAGAAGCUUGCUUCUCUGCUGACGAGCGGCGGACGGGUGAGUAAUGCCUAGGAAUCUGCCUAGUAGUGGGGGAUAACUUGCCGAAAGGUAAGCUAAUACCGCAUACGUCCUACGGGAGAAAGGAGGGGACCUUCGGGCCUUUCGCUAUUAGAUGAGCCUAGGUCGGAUUAGUUAGUUGGUGAGGUAAUGGCUCACCAAGACCGCGAUCCGUAACUGGUCUGAGAGGAUGAUCAGGCACACUGGAACUGAGACACGGUCCAGACUCCUACGGGAGGCAGCAGUGGGGAAUAUUGGACAAUGGGGGGAACCCUGCUCCCGCCAUGCCGCGUGUGUGAAGAAGGUCUUAGGAUUGUAAUGCGCUUUCCUUUGGGAGGACGCGCUGUUCCCUCCUAUUUGACUGUUUUGACGUUACCGACAGACUAAGCACCGGCUAACUUCGUGCCAGCCGCCGCCGUAA
rnacentral:rRNA from 1 species